rnacentral:rRNA from 1 species
GAUGAACGCUAGCUACAGGCUUAACACAUGCAAGUCGUGGGGUAGCACGGAGGAAGCUUGCUUCCUUGGGUGGCGACCGGCGCACGGGUGAGUAACGCGUAUCCGACCUACCCAUUACUCGGGCACAGCCGCUUGAAAGAGUGAUUGAUUCCCGAUAUGUCAUUAGAGUAGAUUUAAUGAUGAAAGCUUUAUCGGUAAUGGAUGGGGAUGCGUAAGAUUAGGUAGUAGGCGGGGUAACGGCCCACCUAGCCGACGAUCUUUAGGGGUUCUGAGAGGAAGGUCCCCCACACGGGUACUGAGAGACGGACCAGACUCCUACGGGGGGCAGCAGUGAGGAAUAUUGGUCAAUGGGCGGAAGCCUGAACCAGCCAAGUAGCGUGAAGGAUUACAGCCCUACGGGUUUUAAACUUCUUUUAUAUAAGAGUAAUGUGCACUACGUGUAGUGUAUUGCAAGUAUUAUAUGAAUAAGCAUCGGCUAACUCCGUGCCAGCCGCCGCCGUAAGAC